GGCGGGGCAAGUCUUAAAGAUCAAGGUCCUGAAAUACCCGAGUCCUCCCGGGCCGGGCACAGACUGGUCCCACCCACGGUUGUAAAGCCCACGUUUGUUGCUUGGCAAACACACCCAGUGGGCCCCGCAGAUGCGGCUCCUAGAGAGUUUGUGGGGACGCCUGGACCGUGGAGACUGAGCCGCACUUCCUCCGUGCGAAGGGAUGCGGCCGGAAUCCGCAGCAGAGCACGAGCGGCGAGGUUCACCGCCCUCGGCCCGCCGACCCGCAGCACUGCCCGGAGCGGCUCGGGAUGGACACCCGAGCAGGCUGGAGGGCUUUCCUCUGCCUCCGCUGCUCUGUCCUCUGCCUCCGGCGCCCUCCACGUUGGGGCAUCUCUCCGCUCCGAGGGUGCGGUGUGAUUUUGCCACGAGGCCGAGUCUACCAAGGAAGAUUUCAGCUUCAGUUCCUAAUUCAAAUACCACCGUUUCAGCGAGGCCUCCCGUGACAACCAGUUUAAAAUCGAAGCCACUUUUCCCAGCAACUCCCGAUUUCCCUUCCCUUCCUUAAGCUCUGUGAGGAGAUCUGACUUUGUGUUUAAAGACACUCCCACCUUAUCAGGCACAGCCCACUUCCCACUCUGCAAGCUGAACUACCAAGCAGCCCCUCUUCCAGCUUCCCUGACCCAUGGCUCUCGCCCUACCCUGGUUCGCUUCUGAAGUGGAAUUUUCCCUCCCUGGGCGGCCUGGUCCUUCUUGAGAUUCCUGGUGCUCCUCCAGAGUCCAUGAGUCACCCUGGAUGCUCAUAAUAACGUCCACUUAUGCUUAAAUGAGCCCAAAUUAUUCUGUUUCAUGCAACCAGGACCCCUGAAUGACAUGUUCCCUCGUCUUCCAGAAGGAGGAAAGGAAUAGCUUCCAUUAGACCUCAUAGAAGAACAAAGACCUAUCUUUCCCCAAAGCCCCAGUUAAUUUCCCUUUACAUCUUACUGGCCUAAACUGGUUCACAUGCACAAUUUAGUCACAUUGGGUAAUACCAUGUCUGCUUGACUUAGGACUGAGUAUCAGGGACACCUGGGGGGCAUAGUCAGUUAAGCAUCUUCAGGUCAUGAUCUCAAGGUCCUGCCAUCGCCCCACAUCCGUAGGGGCAUGUGGGGAGUCUGCAUCUCCCUCUGCCUGUGCCCUU